rnacentral:rRNA from 1 species
UACGUAGGGGGCAAGCGUUGUCCGGAAUUAUUGGGCGUAAAGAGCGUGUAGGCGGCCAGAUAAGUCCGCUGUGAAAUCUCGAGGCUCAACUUCGAGCUGUCGGUGGAAACUAUCUGGCUAGAGUCCGGAAGAGGAGAAUGGAAUUCCUGGUGUAGCGGUGAAAUGCGCAGAUAUCGGGAGGAACACCGGUGGCGAAGGCGGUUCUCUGGGCCUUACCUGACGCUGAGGAGCGACAGCGUGGGGGAGCAAACAGG